CAGGGAGCCACUGCUACGCUGGCUGCCACUAGAGAUCGUGUGCAUUCUCCAGAAUUUCACGGAAUUGUCUUGGGAACACAAGCUGUCCUGUUGGGACGGUAGCUGUUACUGUGUCGGGUGCGCAGAUCUUCCCAUAGGCCGGAGGCAAACCUGUGAAGACACCUGCGCACAGGGCUGCCGUUCCGCCAAGCCGAACGGGCUGUGGUCAGUGUGUGUGGUGACUCUCAGUUCCUCUCCUUGGUCUGCCUUUGGACUGUUUCUGCCUCUGAACUCCAGGACCAGACAGACAACGUGGCCUCUCUGAAUGGCCGCCCCUGCCUUGCCUUGCAGCCCACAGGGGCUGGAGCCCAGCCUUGAGCUCCUCCAGGCCAGGGCGCAAGCGGGCGAAGCACCUCGCCAUGGGGAGGCGGUGACCGCGGGGCCACAGAGACGUGGGGCUCUUCCAAUACAUACUGUUCCCGGUUGUUUGCCUCCUGUAUUGAUUUUGGUGGCACCCCAAGUGCAGGAAGAGAAGUGUGCCAGUGGCUGUCCGUUCAUCCUGUCCUUGUCUUUGGAAGGACGCUGCUGUUUCCCCAACAGGCAUGUGUUGUUUGCUGCCCAGAAGGUUCUGUGGGAGGCUUUGAUCAAACCACGACCAGUGCCAUGGUUUGCUUGGCCUUUUAUCGUGGAUGGUGGCUGAAUUUAACAAAAAUGACUUGGUGUCUGGGGAGUGAUUUUACUGUCUUCUUUCUUCAACUGCUUAAGGGGCAAACUGCAUUGAAACGUUCUCCCAGUUUGAA